UGCUCGUACGAAAUCCCUUCCGCGCUGCCCCGCGUCCCCUUCACCUCCGAGCUCCUCCACCACGUUCUCGCCGCCGUUCAGCAUGCCUCCCCUCUUUCUCUCUCCUCCAAAUCAGCACGCCUCCCCUCUUUCUCUCCCCCUCUCACGCACAAAUCCAUGGCAGAGCUCGCAUCUAGAUCGGAGGAGUGGAAGAGGAGUGCGAGUUGGGGGCAUGGGCGAGGUCGCUGGAGCACCUACCAGAUCUCCUCCUUCAUUCCCAAACUCGGUGGCCGGCGUAUCUUCUCCCCAAAUCCCCUGUCCCCUUCCCAAUCUCUGGAGGAAGAGGCAUAGGUCUGGGAUGUGAGGAUCCUGCGCGCAUCCUGGAAGAGCAAAUGUCAAAAGCAAAUUCAAAAGCAUCCUGGAGGGACAGUUACCGUCUCCUCGGCACAGAUCUGCGCGCACCCCCACCUCCUUCCUCCACGCCGACGAGGGGGCGCGGCGGAACGGCGUCGAGUGACCGCGCGGCGGCAGAGAUCAUGGCGAAGCCCUGCAGCACCCGGCAAGGCAGCUGCCUUCAAGGCAUGGCGCAGCGACACAGGUGAGCUUGGGGACGAAAGCAGCCAAGCAGAGAGGUGGUCGCCGCCGAACGCUUUGCAUAUUCAAGGCAUGGUGCAGUAACACAGGUGGUUGCACGCUAGAAGUUCGAGCAAAUUCCCAUGUGCGCAUCAGUUUUGCUUUCUUACCUUUCAGCUUUUCUCAUAUAUUAUGAUCCUUUAAGUUUAAUAUAGCAUAUACAUCUAUGCAAAUUUCCUGAAUUUCAUUCAUGCUAUAUUUCUAAUACCCAUAAUUCUUGAUUUGUCUGUUCUAACGUUUAGAGUUGUGAAUUACUUUUACUAAGAAUCACACAUUCUGAAUCCUGAUUAGAAUAGUUGAUAAGACAUCAACAAUGAUAAAUUAGAAAGUGGAAAUAUGUGAAAGAUAUAAAGCAGGUUAUGUCUGCAAAUUUUCACAUUCCCCGUGCCUUCUCUAGCAUAUGCUCAAACUGAGGUAAAAUUAAGUCUAGCACUACAAAUCCCUAAAGUAGCGAAGGAGCAAAGAGCAAUUGUAUCACCUGGGCUUUUCAGAACAAACACAGGGAAGCAAUCACUGCAUCGAAGCAUAGUUAUCUUCACUGAAUUAUAAUGACAAAAAAUAUUCUAACCAAUUGGAAUUUUCACCUAUAUAUCCAACAGUUAAUUGCUAAAUCACUGAUAGGAAAUUUGUUUCAAGAUUGAACAUGUGAACAGUACAUACUGCUCCAUUCAGCCCAAAAGAUUUGAGUACUUAGUGGGCUCUCCCUCUCUAAUAUAGUAUUUUGAGUGCAGUUCAGUCUAGCACAUAGAGACCUGCUUAUAAACUGAAAUGAAAAAGCCCUUCCUCCUCUCCUGCAAUGCAAUUUCUUAUGAGAGCAUAGGUUCAUAGCCAGAAUAUAUUCAUGUUUAACAUGAUUAUAGUAACUUUGUUCUUGGAGAGAAAAAAUGGUUAAUCUAAACACUCAAUGAAAACAAGCGUCCAUGAAUUACUAAAAGUUCCAAUUAUCAGGCAACUGUAAUACUUUCUCUUGCCUAAUUUAUAGCACAAAUUUGUACCAAAAUACUAUGGUCACUCUCUUCAUCUCAAAACCCACAAGAAUUAAUUCUACAAUAAUAAUUAUAACAAUACAGAUUGCAUCUCUUGUUCAGUUCUUAGAAUUACACUAUAGUAGGCAAAAGAGAGGUUAAUAUAUAGUUUUUAUUCUCGGCAUUCUCUACCUGGCUAGAAGGCACGACAACACAUAGCGAAGCUCAGAGGACCCUAUUCUCAGUGCAUAUAAAAUAUAUCUCUUCUAAUCAGCUCAGCUUAUAAGUAGAUGUGUUCUCAUUUCUUAUUUUUUGCUGACCUUAGUAAUCUAAUUUUCUUGACUUGCAUAGAUGUGUUGUCAGCUACAAUACUUUGCUGAUCAAAUAAAUAAUUAUGCAUAGCUCCUGGUUAAUGAAAUAGAGCUCCUGGUUAAUGAUCUUAUACUAGACCAUUGGGAGAAUAGGUGAGCCUUUUAGAUAUAAAAAGAAACUGAGCUUGAUUGCAGUGAUGUUGAACAGGAUGAUAACCCAAGCCAAACAUGAACCAUGACAUGAGAGAAAAGAUAUGAAGGAUUUAUCCAUCCAUUCAUCAAUUUCUGUAUCCCUCCAAAACCAAAUCCACUGGAUCUCUUCCCGCGGUACCCCCAAAAGAACAUUCUUCUUCCCAGCCAUUUCAUUUCGGGUUAAGAAGAUGGGAAAGCGCCUUUCUCUCUAUAAGAACAGUGCGUUCUGAGGUGUGAAGUGGGAGAGAGGGGAUGUGAUGAUUGAGGUUCUGAAUAAGACGACCUUUGCAUUUUGGAUUUGGAUCUUUUUCGUAUUUCAAAAUAGUGAAAAAGUCAAAUAAGAGGUGUUAAGCUUUUUAUCAUUCUGGCAUCGAGUUAUUUUGCCGCAGGACCUUAUCGUCACCACAAUAGAGUUUAACCACGAAAUUCGGGAUGGAUUGGUGUGGUUCCUUUACGCCUAGGACACCAGGAUAGCGAACCAUGAACAAGAAAAGGCAUAGAGUAUGUCAUAAGAAAUUAACUUCAGGAGAAGUAAUUUAAUUGUUCGAAUUUUUUUCUUAUUUUAUUAGUAGUCUUAUAGUAGUCUUAGAUUUUGUAUUUUGAUGAGCCUCGUUUUGAGUAAUUCAUGGAAUAAUCCAUUUUCAUGGAAUAAUGAAUUAAGGAAGAAAAAAAUAAGAACAAGGAUACAUAAGAUAAAAAAAAAUAGAUAAGAUGAUAUUCGCCCUCCCCACACAUAUUUAAUUUCUUCUCCUAUACAAAAACCAGCAAGACCCACUCCAUUGGUAAUUACAUCAAUGACACUUUUAUCGAAAAAAUAUGUUAGUUUGGCUAAUCUUCUACGCCUUGAACUGCUCGGCCAUCUCUCCUAUGUAAUCUUAUUAUGGAAAAUAAACUGAGUGAAUAGCGAGUUUUCGUAUUCCUGCAGCAUAGGUAUAGCCACAACUGCUCGGGGAUUCCACGACUCUAUUGGAAAAAAUCCUUUUCAUCUAAGUGGAAGGAUCCCGGAUUUUUUACUAGGAAUUUCGCUCUCUCAAAAGUUUUUCUUUGGAAAAACCCAAAAAAAAGAGAAUGGAAGAAUUUUUUUACGCUUUUUUUUGACUUUGACUCCCUCACUCCAGUCGAUGCUUUUCUUUCUGUUACUUUGGAACCGGUAAAACCAUACAAUCAUAAGAGCCAGCACCCUGUAUUAUUAAGUAUUGAACAGAUGAAGUUUUGCACUUCUACAAUUUGUGCUUGAAUAUAUAACCAUGUCAUGUCUGAUGCUUGCUGCUCCGAAUGUAUAGCUCACUGGUAGUUCUGGCUGUAUGCCAAUACUUUAUACCUAAGCUCAGCCUUACUAAACGUCUGUGCUUUUUCUUUUAUUCUUGCCGCGUAGUAAAUUUGUCAAAUUGCUUUUGGUACUUCACAAACGGCUUUUAAUUUUGGUCACCCAUGCAUAGCAAAUUCUUCGGUAACGGGUCGCGCUAUUUUUCUAGUAAGAAAAGAAAAAAAAGCAUGCUUGCAUGACUGACUUUUCUUUUGAUGAGUGCUUCGGCAUGGUUGGCUGGCACGUGGGGAGGCAGCAGGCUGACGGGAGAUGGCACAGGCGGGGGCGCACCCGGCCCGAGCGGCAGCUGGCCAUGGAGGCGCGGCCCAACGCCGGUAGCAGGCCAGCUGGCCGUGGAUCAGGCGGCUGGCCAAUGGCCCAGGCGGACUCGGUUACUGAGUUGAAGUCGGUCAGUGUUGGUUUGCUACAGGACUAUAUAGGUCGAGUACUGUAGUUGCAAAACUGUACCAAAACCGAUUCGAGAGAAAAUAGAGAGGAAAAUUAGGGUUCGUGGGAGAAACUUUUUAGGGAUGUUUUGUAAUGCAUCUUGUGAAUUUAUCUAUGUAAUGAAGAUUAAAUUUUAGUAAGUUUUCUCCAUGUUCA